rnacentral:rRNA from 1 species
UACGUAGGGGGCGAGCGUUGUCCGGAGUUACUGGGCGUAAAGCGCACGCAGGCGGUCUGCUAAGUUUGGAGUGACAGUUGGUGGCUUAACUGCCAAAGUGCUUCGAAAACUGACAGACUUGAGGGCUUCAGAGGGACACGGAAUUCCGGGUGGAGUGGUGAAAUGCGUAGAUAUCCGGAGGAAUACCAAAGGCGAAGGCAGUGUCCUGGCUGGCAUCUGACGCUGAGGCGCGAAAGCUAGGGGAGCAAACAGG